rnacentral:rRNA from 1 species
GACGGAGGGUGCAAGCGUUGUUCGGAUUGACUGGGCGUAAAGGGCGUGUAGGCGGUUGGUUAAGUCGGGUGUGAAAUCCCGGGGCUCAGCUCCGGAAGUGCGCCCGAAACUGGCUAGCUAGAGCGCGGUAGAGGAGGGUGGAAUUCCUGGUGUAGCGGUGAAAUGCGUAGAUAUCAGGAGGAACACCGGCGGCGAAGGCGGCCCUCUGGACCGUUGCUGACGCUGAGACGCGAAAGCGUGGGGAGCAAAC